ACCUGCCCAAUGAUUUUUUAAAUGGCCGCGAUAUUUUGAUCGUGCAAAGGUAGCAUAAUCAUUAGUUUCUUAAUUAGGAACUGGAAUGAAAGGUUGAACGAGAAAAAACCUGUCUCAAUUUAAUUUUAUUAAAAUUUUAUUUUUAAGUAAAAAAGCUUAAAUAAUUUUAAAAGACGAGAAGACCCUAUAGAGUUUAAUAUUUUGUAAAUUUUAAAAAAAAUAUUGUAUAUAAUUUUUUAUUAUUUAAGAAGUAUUUAGUUGGGGUGAUUGAAAAAUUUGAUAAACUUUUUUUUAAUUUUAACAUUAAUAUAUGAAUAUAUGAUCCAUAAAUUAUGAUUAAAAGAUUAAAUUA
rnacentral:rRNA from 1 species